AACUUCCUGGCGACAAACUUGAGGCCCCGCCACAGACAUUUACAGUAGAGGAACACGAAGAACUGGGUCACCACUCUGGAGAGGAGAAUACAGGAGGGAUUAGAUCGGAAAAAAAAGACAGAUGUCCUGUAUUACAACAGCAGGUGGUACGGAGAUGGGAUGUGGCGUCUUGUUGUCCUCUUCACUCGGCUGCUCCGGGCGUCUGCAGCUCCUCCAUGAUGACAGUCCGACUGACUGAGGCUGAGCAGCUCCGGUCUAAAAGCGACAGCGCAGCAAUGCAGCGCAGAAUACCAAACCUCCAGCAGCACAGCGACCUGGGAUCAACUCAUGGAUCAUUUCGUCUCACACUCUCCGCAGAUAAACAUCACCAGAGUCGGCAUGUGUUUAGAUUUCCCCCCAAGGACCACAUUUAACAUAGUCUCUGAAGAUAAAUGCAUGAAUUUCUCUUGCUGUUGACACUUGAAAUGACAAAUCAACCGCGAUAUCUUGCUCAACACCAUUUAAUUAAAAGAAACACCUGCGAGAGUGUUGUAAGCAGUUUUCACGGGCAAUAAAAGAUGUUCCUGAACCUCCAAAAUUUA